GUGAGGAAGCUGCUUGUUUGUCUGAUGGCUUGAGCAACCUAGGGGCAUUUUCCAGCCACGUCCUCUUACUCUGGAGGGUCAGAAUAUAAUGAUAAAUGUCUACAGGAUGAGGUGAAGCGAGUGAAUGUCGCGGGCACUGUGACAUACCUAUCGCACCGUAUCAGGAAGAUCGUGCGCUUCUGGACUGCAGUCCAACCCAGAGAUGGUGCUUUCCUCCUUGCCGUGCAUAACUGCUGUGUGCACAGGAUGAGUAUCUACCCGAG